CCUACGGGGGACAGCAGUGGGGAAUAUUGCACAAUGGGGGAAACCCUGAUGCAGCGACGCCGCGUGAGCGAUGAAGUAUUUCGGUAUGUAAAGCUCUAUCAGCAGGGAAGAAAAUGACGGUACCUGACUAAGAAUCCCCGGCUAACUCCGUGCCAGCAGCCGCGGUUAUACGUAGGGGGCAAGCGUUAUCCGGAUUUACUGGGUGUAAAGGGAGCGUAGACGGUCCUGCAAGUCAGAUGUGAAAGCCCGGGGCUCAACCCCGGCACUGCAUUUGGAACUGUAAGGCUAGAGUUGCGGAGAGGCAGGCGGAAUUCGUAGUGUAGCGGUGAAAUGCGUAGAUAUUAGGAGGAACACCAGUGGCGAAGGCAGCCUGCUGGACGAUGACUGACGUUGAGGCACGAAAGCGUGGGGAGCGAACAGGAUUAGAUACCCCGGUAGUC
rnacentral:rRNA from 1 species